rnacentral:rRNA from 1 species
ACAGGUGCUGCAUGGCUGUCGUCAGCUCGUGUUGUGAAAUGUUGGGUUAAGUCCCGCAACGAGCGCAACCCUUAUCCUUUGUUGCCAGCGGUCCGGCCGGGAACUCAAAGGAGACUGCCAGUGAUAAACUGGAGGAAGGUGGGGAUGACGUCAAGUCAUCAUGGCCCUUACGACCAGGGCUACACACGUGCUACAAUGGCGCAUACAAAGAGAAGCGACCUCGCGAGAGCAAGCGGACCUCAUAAAGUGCGUCGUAGUCCGGAUUGGAGUCUGCAACUCGACUCCAUGAAGUCGGAAUCGCUAGUAAUCGUGGAUCAGAAUGCCACGGUGAAUACGUUCCCGGGCCUUGUACACACCGCCCGUCACACCAUGGGAGUGGGUUGCAAAAGAAGUAGGUAGCUUAACCUUCGGGAGGGCGCUUACCACUUUGUGAUUCAUGACUGGGGUGAAGUCGUAACAAGGUAACCGUAGGGGAACCUGCG